rnacentral:rRNA from 1 species
UCCAAUCGAACUCGGAGAUAGCUGGUUCUCCCCGAAAUAGCUUUAGGGCUAGCCUGAGGUAGUAAGUAUAGGCGGUAGAGCACUGAUCGGGCUAGGGGCCGUAAAGGUUACCGAACCCUGUCAAACUCCGAAUGGAUAUACUGUAGAGCCUUGGAGUCAGACUACGAGUGAUAAGAUCCGUGGUCAAAAGGGAAACAGCCCAGACCACCAGCUAAGGUCCCCAAUGUCGUACUAAGUGGAAAAGGAUGUGGGGUUUCAUAAACAACCAGGAUGUUGGCUCAGAAGCAGCCACCAUUUAAAGAGUGCGUAAUAGCUCACUGGUCGAGAGACCCUGCGCCGAAGAUUCCCGGGGCUAAAGUACGAAACCGAAGCUGUGGCUGUAUACGUAAAGUAUACGGGGUAGGGGAGCGUUCCCAUAGGGUAGAAGUCGAACUGGAAGGUUCGGUGGACUUGUGGGAAGUGAGAAUGUUGGUAUGAGUAGCGAAAAGAAAGGUGAGAAUCCUUUCCACCGAAAGCAUAAGGAUUCCUGAGCAACGAUCGUCGUCUCAGGGUAAGUCGGGACCUAAUCCGAGGCAGAGAGCGUAGGAGAUGGACAACUGGUUGAUAUUCCAGUACCGGUAGUAAUUGUUUGAGCAAUGGAGUGACACAGAAGGGCAGGCAAGCAUGCGAAUGGAAGAGCAUGUGUAAGCGUGUAGGGUGGUGCAUAGGCAAAUCCGUGCACUGAAAGCCUGAGGCGUGAUGCGGAGUGAGCAGAGAUGCGAGCGAAGUUGUUGACCCCACACUGUCGAGAAAAGCUUCUAGUGAGAGAGCUACCGCCCGUACCGUAAACCGACACAGGUAUGCGGGGAGAGAAUCCUAAGGUGCGCGGGAGAACCCUCGUUAAGGAACUCGGCAAAAUGUACCCGUAACUUCGGGAUAAGGGUAGCCACUGUUGUGAAGUCCCAUGCGGAUGGAGCAUAGAGUGGUCGCAGAGAAGAGGCCCAAGCGACUGUUUACCAUAAACACAGGUGCCUGCUAAAGCGAAAGCUGACGUAUAGGUGCUGACACCUGCCCAGUGCCGGAAGGUUAAGGAAGGAUGUUCGGAUUAGUCCAAAGCAUUCGACUGAAGCCCCGGUGAACGGCGGCCGUAACUAUAACGGUCCUAAGGUAGCGAAAUUCCUUGUCGGGUAAGUUCCGACCCGCACGAAAGGUGUAACGAUUUGGGCACUGUCUCAACGAGGGACCCGGUGAAAUUGAAAUACCUGUGAAGAUGCAGGUUACCCGCGACUGGACAGAAAGACCCCAUGGAGCUUUACUGUAACCUGACAUUGGGUUUUGAUACAUUACGUACAGGAUAGGUGGGAGGCAUGGAAAGCUGGACGCUAGUCUGGCUGGAGCCGACGUUGGGAUACCACCCUUGAUGUAUUGAAAUUCUAACCGCGAGAGUAACGAAAUCCGGGACAGUGUCAGGCGGGCAGUUUGACUGGGGCGGUCGCCUCCGAAAGAGU